rnacentral:misc_RNA from 1 species
GCUACUACCGAUUGAAUGGUUUAGUGAGGACUCCUGAUUGGCGCCGCCGCCCCGGCAACGGAGCAGCGGACUGCCGAAAAGUUGUUCAAACUUGAUCAUUUAGGGGAAGUAAAAGUCGUAACAAGGUUUCCGUAGGUGAACCUGCAGAAGGACA